AAAUCGAAGAUCUCGUCUCUUUUGUCUCUGAAGUCCGUCCGUGGAGCAGAAUGAUCACCAGGAGAAGAGGCCGUGCCAUCAGCAGAGCAGAACGUGGAGUCUGUGGAAGUUGAGGUGGUGGAUGCUGUGGAAAGUGUCGAAGGACCUGCGAAUCCACCUGAAGAUUCCCUGCUGACGACAUCGAUACCACCGGCCUGGAUGAGCUCAACGACCUGUUUGGAAUUGAAGACCUGAAAUGGACAUUAGACAAAGAUUUCCUCGUCUCCACUCUUCAAUAUGGAGUUUGGCGAUCUUGAGGGGUACAGCAUGAGAGGGGAACGAGUCUGAGCUUGAAGCCUCUACAGCCUAGUCUUCCUGAGAGGAUUGUAUGCCUGAAUCUAAGCCGAAGACCAGACAGCGCCAGUCGAACCACGGGAUCAACAAGAAUGCCAUCGCUGCCAGAUUGAACCGUUGAAGAAGAAGGAAUACGUUAGCAAGCCUAGAGAGGAAAGUUGGCAGUCUGGUGACAGAAAACGGUGCUUUGAGCAGGAAAACUGUCAGCUGACCAAGAGAGUAGAGGAACUAGAAGAUGAGACCAGGCGCCCAGCUCCAACGACCAUGGACUAUGCCCUUCCCAGGAAGCGCGUGGAAAGUGGAGGAGAAAGAGAAAUCUGGUGGAGUGUGUCUGCACGUGGACAAGAACCACGUCUCUGUGGAGUUCUGCACUAAGUGUGCAGAGAGCGCGAGCACGUCGCUCAAAAUGUAGGGUCAAGUACUUCUCUCUGUUUUCAGAUCUUGACACUGAGCGUGGUUCAGCUCGGUGAGCUGAACGUUAGAGGACGGUAGACCCUGUUGAAUUAAGAUUACCUAAGAAGUGCAGGAUGUGCAUGUGUUCUGUUCUGAUGAUGGAUUCACUUCGUGUUACUGCUAAACUUUGUUGACAGUUUCUUCUAGGUAAAGAUUGAUCGUCCAUGUGGGAUGAGUGGCUUUCUGAACACCUUUACCUGCUUGACUUCAUGUGGAUUCUGCUGGUGGAAGGUGAAGAGGCUGGACAAGCUGCUGCCAUCGUGGCCUGGUAUUUUUUUAAAGGUAGUAUUGGUAACCAAUGGUAUAUGUGUCUUUUUUUUUUUCUUUUUUUUUUUUUUUCAACCAAUCCUCCACAGCACUGUAGCUGCACACGCUGUCAGCUCAUGAGCUUUUCUGAGACCUGAAUAUCCAUCAGAGCAAUGCUAAGAUCCUCUUUAUGUCUGGUGUAAAUAUUUGAAUGUAUCUUGCAUCUACUCAGAACGAUCUGCUGUAAGGAAUUUUCCAGUUCUGAUCAAAUGUAACGCCAUGUAAAUGUUGUAUAUAUCUAAUUUUGAACAGAUUGUUUGAGUUAAUCAGCCUUCUGAGAAGCGUUGGACAAAUAAAUCCUAUUUUCAUUAUGUUUGAGAUAAACGUA